rnacentral:lncRNA from 1 species
GUUACAUAGAAGGGAAGGAACUUGACAAUUUUUUUCAUCAUCUCCUGGAGAAACUGGAACCAGAAACCGCCAUCACAGAAGAAAAGGUUCAAAGGAUGAAGGAGCAAUUCAUGUCCACCUACGAUGUCACUGCAGACGGACGCCUACAAAUCCAAGAGCUUGCCAAUAUGAUCUUGCCUGGAAUUUAUGCGGGUGUGUAUCUCUGCAUUGCUGCU